GUUUCAUCAAUUGUAGCAUAGCAGAGGCACAUUGUGCUCUAAUUUACAGGUUCACUUUAGUUGUUGGCAUGGGACUCAUAAUGGCAAACAAGCUCUGGCUAUUUCCAAAGCAACUAGUUUUGUUUUUACUGGUGGAAAACUUAAUCUCUCCUGCUUUUUCACUUACUUACAGCACUGGCACAUGGCAACAUCUUCCAAGCCGAAUGCCACAAUUUGGCGAUCAUCUGCCUUUUAAACAGCUUCAACUUCACCAACAAACAGUUUCUAGACCAGUUCGAGUGGAAACGGUCGAUGUGAAGUGCCAUUCAGACUACAUGGAGAUAGUAGUUAAGGCUGAUCUGUUUAAACUCGGUAUUCUUAUUGACAUGGAUGACCUGCGACUUGGAGUUGAACAAGACAAAGAGACCUGCAGGGCUUCAGCAGCCGGAGAUGAGUACAGAAUAUUGGCAGCGCUAUCAGACUGUGGAACCAAGCGUUUGAUGAACAAAGACUCCAUGAUCUAUACAAACCACCUCAGAUAUACACCCAGAGCCACACCAGAUGGGGUUAUUCGAAUGGAUGGUGCUGUAAUCCCAAUUGCUUGUCAUUAUGAAAGGAAGUACAGUUCAGAGAGUGGCCCCCUCCAGCCGACCUGGAUCCCCUUCAGCGCCACAGUGUCUGCUGAAGACACCCUGCAGUUCUCCUUGAAGUUUAUGACAAGUGACUGGCUCUAUGAGCGGGGUUCUGGAGUCUACUUCCUGGGUGAUCCCAUCAACAUUGAGGUGUCUGUCAGUGUUACUCACCACUCCAGGCUCAGGGUCUUUGUUAGCAGCUGCGUGGCCACACUGGACCCUGAUAGCAACUCUGUCCCCAGAUACGUCUUCAUUGAGCAUGAUGGGUGCUUGGUGGAUUCCCAGCUGCCUGGCUCCAACUUUGGGUUCAUGCAUAGAACCCAGGAUGACAAGCUCCAGUUCCACAUUGAUGCCUUUAGGUUCUAUCAGGAGGACAGGGCAGAGCUGUACAUCACAUGCCACCUUAUGGCAGUCCCUGUCAUGGACCAUGCAGAGUCUAGCAACAAGGCAUGCUCCUUCAUUGAUGGCAGAUGGAGGUCUGCCGACUCGAAUGAUUUGCAAUGUGGCCGUUGUCCUAGCCAGAAGGGGGUUGAUCACGAUCCAGCACGACAUCCCCUCAGUCCAAGACAAGGCGGUAGCCAACCUGAACCUCGUGGCUACCGCAUCAAACCUCAAGCCACUGGCGACCAUUGGAGUGGGAUGAAGUCCAAGAAAGUAUGGAACCAAGAUGCUACUUUGGGCCCCAUAAUGGUUACAACCAAACGGAGUAGAUCUUUAUCUCCAACGACGGAAGGUAUCGAUAUAUAUGGCUUCCCUUCUCCAACUAAGGACAGGAGGCCUGUAUCACCUGGCAGUCUUUGGAAGAGGGGAAUGGACUUCAAGAGGGAUCUGGAGCCCAACCCAGACUACGAGUUGAAUCCUACACCUGAGCCCAUUGGAGGCCUUGGAUAUGACAAGGAUCUCUAUACAAUUGGAACUCAUUGAAAGGAAUACUGUGGGGGCCCCAUUUUUCACUCCAAGCAGCACACUCACUCCUGAUGACCCUACAACCAAGUGACCUCGGCACCACAACUGCUCCUGAUCCUCAAGCUCUCGGGUUGGAUGGGGAGUGUCACUGCACAGCUACCUUCACGAUCUCCAGAGAUGUUUGCUUGUGCUCUGGCUUGACCACUCGUUGACAGACUUGUCACUCCUGCGUUGGCUGUGAAGAUCAUUGUCCUGUUGGAAGGCAAAUCUUUGCCCCAGUCUGAGCAGGUUUUAGUCAAGGAUCUCUACUUUGCUCUGUUCAUCUUUGCCUUGAUCCUGACUAGUUUCCUGUUGCUGAAAAACAUCCCAACAGCAUGAUGCUACCAACAUACUUCACUGUAGGGAUGGUGCCAGAAUUCCUCCAGAGGUGACGCUUAGCAUUCAGGCCAGCAAGUUCAAUCUUGGUUUCAUCAGACCAGGGAAUCUUGUUACUCAUGGUCAGAGUCCUUUAGGUGCCUCUUAGCGGGCUGUCGUGGCUUCUGUCUGGCCACUACCAUAAAGACCUGAUUGGAGUUCUGCAGAGAUGGGAGAAACUUCCCAAAGAACAACCAUCUCCACAGAGGAGCUCUGCCAGAGUGACCAUUGGGUUGGUCAUCUCCCUGACCAAGGCCCUUCUCCCCCAAUUGCUCAGUUUUGCUGGGCGGCCAGCUCUAGGAAGUCUUGGUGGUUUCAAAAUUCUUCCAUUUAAGAAUGAUAGAGGCCACUGUUCUUGGGGACCGUUACAGCCUGUAAAUAAGGCUGUAACGUAAAAAAAUGAGGCGGAAGGGGUCUGAAUACUUACCAAAUGUACAUAUACAUGUAAAUUAUUUUGAUGAAGCUGACAAUGGUAGGCCAGAUCUUCAAAUGUAUCAUGAUUUGUUAAAUAUUUCAGCAAUGUAGAAGGGCAACACUAUCAGGGGGCAUGUUCAGUAGUAGGUUCAGCUAUUUCCUUACCACUCUUAUCCUACCGCAUAUGCACACACUGUAUAUAGAUAAACCUUUUCUUUUGUAUUGACUGCAUGAUUGUUUAUUCCAUGUGUAACUGUGUCGCUUUAUCUUGGCCAGGUCGCAGUUGAAAAUGAACUUGUUCUCAAUUAGCCUACCUGGUUAAAUAAAGGUGAAAUAAAAACCAACAAUGUUGCACAUGGUAUGGAACACCUCUGCAGCAACAGUGGAAAUGCUGACAUUUCCUAGAUUUAUCUUUGGUCUUUAUUGGUUUCCUGUUUGCAUAGACGGGCCCAUCACUAGUCCUGGAUUAAUGUG